rnacentral:tRNA from 1 species
UGGAGAAAUACUCAAGUGGCUGAAGAGGCGCCCCUGCUAAGGGUGUAGACCGUUUGCGCGGUGCGAGGGUUCAAAUCCCUCUUUCUCCGU